GAUGAACGCUGGCGGCGUGCCUAAUACAUGCAAGUCGAGCGAACAGAUAAGGAGCUUGCUCCUUUGACGUUAGCGGCGGACGGGUGAGUAACACGUGGGUAACCUACCUAUAAGACUGGGAUAACUUCGGGAAACCGGAGCUAAUACCGGAUAACAUUUGGAACCGCAUGGUUCUAAAGUGAAAGAUGGUUUUGCUAUCACUUAUAGAUGGACCCGCGCCGUAUUAGCUAGUUGGUAAGGUAACGGCUUACCAAGGCGACGAUACGUAGCCGACCUGAGAGGGUGAGUGGCCACACUGGAAGGGAGACAGGGUCCAAGCUCCUACGGGAGGCAGCAGUAGGGAAUCUGCCGCAAUGGGCGAAAGCCUGACGGAGCAACGCCGCGUGUGUGAUGAAGGGUUUCGGCUCGUAAAACUCUGUUAUUAGGGAAGAACAAAUGUGUAAGUAACUGAGCACGUCUUGACGGUACCUAAUCAGAAAGCCACGGCUAACUACGUG
rnacentral:rRNA from 1 species